rnacentral:rRNA from 1 species
UAAUCCUACGGGGCGCAGCAGUGGGGAAUAUUGGGCAAUGGGCGCAAGCCUGACCCAGCAACGCCGCGUGAAGGAAGAAGGCUUUCGGGUUGUAAACCUCUUUUAAGAGGGAAGAGCGGAAGACGGUACCUCUUGAAUAAGCCACGGCUAACUACGUGCCAGCAGCCGCGGUAAUACGUAGGUGGCAAGCGUUGUCCGGAUUUACUGGGUGUAAAGGGCGUGUAGCCGGGCUGACAAGUCAGAUGUGAAAUCCCGUGG